AAGAGGGACACGGGGCCAGCGGCAGGUGAGACACCGGCCUGCAGAGAAUGCUCUGGGCUAGAAGAGCUAAUUCCCAGGAUGAACAGCAGGAGGCGCUGCAUCUAUAUUUGCCUCCAAAUUAAUCAAUCCUGCACUGGCAAAGGGGACAAGAUGUCUUAACAGAUGUUUUCUUUAAUAUCUCUGAUUCUAGUCAUCCAAGUGGACUGUCCUGGAAUUUACAUAAGAAAACAGGUUUUCCAAAACUGAAUAUGUUCUUUCACAUAUGGUAUCCAAUUGUAAUUCAAGAAAUUGGAGUGAGACAGAAAAUGCUGCUCCUAUAAUUCCACAAAACGGAAAGAAGGUACCAAUGUGAGAUUUCUAAAGAUAGCUACAGCACUUGACCCAAGAUUUUAGAAUCUGAAAUGCCUUACAGAAUUUGAGAGGGACGAGAUGCUUUCAGAAGUCUUAAAAGAGCAACACUCCGAUGCGGGACGAGAUGCUUUCAGAAGUCUUAAAAGAGCAACACUCCGAUGCGGAAACUACAGAAUCUGAAAUCACCAAUAAAGAAAAUUAACCUUCUACUGGUGGCAUCCGAUUCAGAUAAUGAAAAUGAACAUAUGUCAAUCUGCGCUGCUUUAGAGUGUUAUCAAGCAGAACCCGUUAUCAGCAUGGACACAUGUCCCCUGGAAUGGUGAUUGAAGCAUGAAGGGACAUCUGAAUCUUUAGUGCAACUGACACGUAAAUAUCUUUUAAUGUCGGCUACAACAGUGCCAUGUGAAUGCCUGUUCUCACUUUCAGGUGACAUUGUGAACAAGAAGCGGGCAGCAUUGUCUCCUGCAAAUGGAAACACACUUGUUUGUCUUAGCAAUUAGCUGAACAAACAGUAAGACUGAGUCGACUUGCAGGCUCUACAAUUUUACAUUGUUUUAUUUUUGAAUGCAGGGGGGUUUUUUUGUACAUAUUUCUACAUUUGUCAGUUCACCUUUCAUGAUAAAGAGAUUGCAUUGCAGUACUUGUAUUAGGUGAAUUGAAAAACACUAUUUCUUUUGUUUUUUUACAGUGUAAGUAUUUAUAAUCAAAAAUAAAUAUAA